GCGUUGCCCAAACACACAAAACAAAAAUGGUGACACGCUGCACAAACCCAGACAUAGUUACAGUUGAAGUAACACAUGAUAGAGGGUUUCAAUUCCAAAUACAUGGAAUUAAAAUGGGUAAGGUGAAGAACAAGCAAAAGCUCUCAGCUCGAGAAGAUGAAGAAGCUAUCAUCAAAACCACCUUUCCCAAUUUACAUUUCUACCGACCCACGCCAUGUGGACCUGCACCGUCUCCAAGACCUCUUCGUUGAUUGCAACCACUCUACCCACCGAUUCCCUACCUGACCCGAACCCGUGGAUAUCCACAAGCUCCGCAUUGCACUGUCUCACAGUUCCGUUCUUGUCUCCGUCUUCUGCAACCCCCAACAUGUAAACGCCCUUUUCCAUCAGAAUUCAUCAUCGUCUUCAAUCGCGGAUAUCUUCAUGCCGGUUUCUCCUUCACGGGAUCAAUUGGUCAGGUUUGGCCGUGUCCUUUUCGAGUAUGGCCUCACCGCUUCUAUUUACGAUGUCAUGGUAAUGAAAAAAAAGAAAGAAAGAAAAUGAAUAAACGCUCGUUCUUAGUUAGUGUAUUGGUUAACGUGUGUGUAUCAAAUUGGUUCAGUGUCUUGCAGGUUAUUCCUUCCCUGCAAAGAAUGGGAAUUGGUCAAAUGAUAGUUAAAAAAAUUGUUAGAAUGCUUACAAAUAGAGACAUCUAUGACAUAGCAGCCCUUUGUUCGGGGAAUGAAAGGUUAUUUUUUGAGGCGUGUGGAUUUGGG